rnacentral:misc_RNA from 1 species
GGCUAUUAUAGUUAGAAGGGAACCGUUCAAUUAUAUGACUCCACAGAUUGAAAACUGGUAAGUUGCUUAGAUAUGACAUUCUUAAGAUGUCAACGAGUAAGCUCAAAGUUGAAAUCAAGAUGCUCUGCAAGCUCAAAGUGAAACAACAUUGUAACUAAAUUCAGUUGAAUCAAUUUGAGGGUUGUUUUAAGUAUAUUCAGA